rnacentral:rRNA from 1 species
CAGUAGCCGCGGGAAAACGAAGGGGGCUAGCGUUGUUCGGAAUUACUGGGCGUAAAGCGCACGUAGGCGGACAUUUAAGUCAGGGGUGAAAUCCCGGGGCUCAACCCCGGAACUGCCUUUGAUACUGGGUGUCUAGAGUAUGGAAGAGGUGAGUGGAAUUCCGAGUGUAGAGGUGAAAUUCGUAGAUAUUCGGAGGAACACCAGUGGCGAAGGCGGCUCACUGGUCCAUUACUGACGCUGAGGUGCGAAAGCGUGGGGAGCAAACAGGAUUAGAUACCCCGGUAGUCCCUGUCUCUUAUAC